rnacentral:lncRNA from 1 species
AUGCAGUGCUGCGGGUGCCUGCGUGGCCUUAAGGUCAUCCGAGCAGCUCCUGGGCCAGCCCUAGUUGUGCCUGGAAUACGCUGGUCUUGGGAAAGCACAAUUCAGAAUCACUUCACGAUUCUGCAUCCAUGCAGCUGCUGCUGCAAGGGCCGUCAUCCGAAACGGGGACAGGACGGCGAAGUCCCGGGGCUGAGCACGCUGACGACAGAAGGAGUUGCUGCAACAAACCACAAACCAGAACUGGAACAGGCAGAAUUCCCUGCCAAAUCGAACCCCUUCGCAGUUCCACGGAAGGCAGAAGUAGAAGUAACACCGGCAGAAACUCGCUGGGUGCAAACGACUGGAGGGUGCUUAAUUUGCAGAAAUGGGUGAGAAUGGUGAGUGUAUGUCUGCUGUGUUUUAUCUCAAACGUUAAUUGACUUUUGCAUAUACGGUUCUGGUUCUGGUGGCUGCUUCUGUCUGUGUGUGACUUACUGUAACAGCUUCCUUUUCCCGUUUUUAUUCAACUUGUGAAGUUUUCAGACUGCAUCUGGUGGGGCUUCCUCUUUUGUGUGUGGUUGCUUGAAGCGUCUGCUCAUUUUGGUAGCACUCGCGCCCCGUGCCGUGCUGCCAGUGCUGCAGGCAGCGGGCUGCCUCGCACGAGGACGUGCGUGCUGCAGGAUUUACCCUCCUGCCAUCCCGACCCCGUCCCAGCUCUCCCAUGGCUCCUGGCCAUCCCCUGCAGCUGCAGGGUGGAAGUAAGCCUUUCCUCACUAAUGAGGCCAAGCUCGUGUUUGGCAGUUCUGUCCGUUUGCUGUCAGUUAACUGGGGCACAAGUUUACUGAUCGGGACUAAUGUCGUCACAGGCAGAAAUGUGUGCAGCGCCUCCAACGCCACAGGAGCUGAGCUGAUUGGCUUUAUGGGGACGUUACC